rnacentral:rRNA from 1 species
AAACUAACAAGGAUUCCCCUAGUAACGGCGAGUGAAGCGGGAAGAGCUCAAAUUUGAAAUCUGGCAGCCUCAGGUUGUCCGAGUUGUAAUCUAUAGAGGCGUUUUCCGCGUCGGACUGUGUCCAAGUCCCUUGGAACAGGGUAUCAAAGAGGGUGACAAUCCCGUACUUGACACAACCACCGAUGCUAUGUGAUACGCUUUCUACGAGUCGAGUUGUUUGGGAAUGCAGCUCAAAAUGGGUGGUAAAUUCCAUCUAAAGCUAAAUAUUGGCGAGAGACCGAUAGCGAACAAGUACCGUGAGGGAAAGAUGAAAAGCACUUUGGAAAGAGAGUUAAACAGUACGUGAAAUUGUUGAAAGGGAAACGAUUGAAGUCAGUCGUGUUCUUCAGAUUCAGCUGGUUCUGCCAGUCUACUUCUGUUGAACGGGUCAACAUCAGUUUUGUCCGGUGGAAAAGGGCAGGAGGAAAGUAGCUCCCUCGGGAGUGUUAUAGCCUCUUGUCGCAUACACUGGGUGAGACUGAGGAAUGCAGCUCGCCUUUAU